CCAACAUCUGUUCAAAUACACAUAAUGACUUGACGUGGGAUAAUACGAGUAUAUUAUUUUGAAUCGCACUUUGGUUUGAACUCUAUCAUCAUGAAAGUGGAAAGUUCUUCGGUUGGAUUAGUAUGUCAUUGACAAUUGAUUAGGAAGAUUACAAUUGGUUUUCUAUGUCAAGUUUUCAUUCGCUGUUGACAUUGGAUAAAAGAUAAGAUGAUGUUUGAAUAAAUAGUUAAUCGACAUAACGAUGUGUUCAGUUAGACCUUAUGUACAUGUGUGCUUUUAAUAGUUUAAGGGAAGAAAAGUCAAGGAUUUGAUAACACAUUGGAAUUUAUGAUUAUGAAAGGAGUUACGUCUAAUUAAACUAGUUCAUACCUGUUAGAUAAUAGGAUUCCGAAAUCUAGCCGAUAUAAAACGAAAAUCAAACCAAGUGCGCGAAAAUUGCGAAGCAACUUUGGAGAGGGGUUUGGUGAAUAGUAUAACACAAAUUCUGUAUAAUUAAGAUGAAACUUAGUUUUUUUUAUUUCAUCAUCUGUUACUAUGUAAAAUUUUUCCACAACAUAAAUAAAUAAAUAAUAAAAUUUUCCCAUGAGCACCGUGGA